rnacentral:rRNA from 1 species
UACAGAGGUCCCAAGCGUUGUUCGGAUUCACUGGGCGUAAAGGGUGCGUAGGUGGUCGGGUAAGUCUGAUGUGAAAUCUCGGAGCUCAACUCCGAAACUGCAUUGGAUACUAUUCGGCUUGAGAGUUGGAGGGGGGACUGGAAUUCUCGGUGUAGUAGUGAAAUGCGUAGAUAUCGAGAGGAACACCAGUGGCGAAGGCGAGUCCCUGGACAACUUCUGACACUGAGGCACGAAAGCUAGGGGAGCAAACAGG